GAUGAACGCUGGCGGCGUGCUUAACACAUGCAAGUCGAGCGAGAAGUUUUGAAGAGAUUCUUCGGAUGAAAUUUAAAAUGGAAAGCGGCGGACGGGUGAGUAACGCGUAGGCAACCUGCCCCAUACAAAGGGAUAGCAUUUGGAAACGAAUAUUAAUACCUUAUGAAACUUAACUAGUGCAUGCUAGGUAGGUCAAAGAUUUAUCGGUAUGGGAUGGGCCUGCGUCUGAUUAGCUAGUUGGUGAGGUAACGGCUCACCAAGGCGACGAUCAGUAGCCGACAUGAGAGGGUGACCGGCCACAUUGGAACUGAGACACGGUCCAAACUCCUACGGGAGGCAGCAGUGGGGAAUAUUGCACAAUGGGGGAAAACCUGAUGCAGCAACGCCGCGUGAACGAUGAAGGACUUUGGGUCGUAAAGUUCUGUUCUAGGUGAUGAAAACUGACAGUAACCUAGGAGAAAGCCACGGCUAACUCCGUG
rnacentral:rRNA from 1 species